rnacentral:rRNA from 1 species
GCCUACGGGACGCAGCAGUGAGGGAUAUUGGUCAAUGGGCGAGAGCCUGAACCAGCCAAGUCGCGUGAGGGAGUACUGCCCUAUGGGUUGUAAACCUCUUUUGUCGGGGAGCAAAAGCCGGACGUGUCCGGCUGUGAGAGUACCCGAAGAAAAAGCAUCGGCUAACUCCGUGCCAGCAGCCGCGGUAAUACGGAGGAUGCGAGCGUUAUCCGGAUUUAUUGGGUUUAAAGGGUGCGUAGGCGGGCUUUUAAGUCAGCGGUAAAAAUUCGGGGCUCAACCCCGUCCGGCCGUUGAAACUGGG